CUGGUAUGAACUGGUUUUACUGAUUCCUCCCUCUUGAAGAACUGUAAUGCCAUUAAUUUGGUGUUGCAGGGAAUCAGGACUGUUACUUUGAAAAAAUUAGAGUGUUUAAAGCAGGCUUUAGCUUGAAUACAUUAGCAUGGAAUAAUGAAAUAGGACGUUUGAUCCUAUUUUGUUGGUUUCUAGGAUUGACGUAAUGAUUAAUAGGGAUAGUUGGGGGCAUUAGUAUUCAAUUGUCAGAGGUGAAAUUCUUGGAUUUAUUGAAGACUAACUACUGCGAAAGCAUUUGCCAAGGAUGUUUUCAUUAAUCAAGAACGAAAGUUAGGGGAUCGAAGACGAUCAGAUACCGUCGUAGUCUUAACCAUAAACUAUGCCGACUAGGGAUCGGAUGAUGUUAAUUUUUUAAUGACUCAUUCGGCGCCUUACG
rnacentral:rRNA from 1 species